UUAAGAGGGAGAGAGAGAGAGAAGCGGAGGCUGGGGGCUGGUGAACUCAUCGAGCUCCUCGAUGCAAUGAUAGAUGGAGUGCCUGUAAAACCUCACGGCACCAUGGAUGAAAUCCUCAAGUCCUGAGCCAGAUGUGGAGCAACUGGUCACCGAGCAGUCUUCCACCCAGACCUGCGUUUGGCUCGUGUGUGUCUAUUUUCUGGUCACUGGGAUGCUUCACUCUUUGUUCGCUGUGCUCCAGAACUUACUUUCUACAUCAGGCUUCCUACCUUGUCCUCAGAUUUGCACCCUGACUCUAAGCCUUAAUGUCUUUCUAAAUGAUCCACAAGAAGCAGGACUU